rnacentral:rRNA from 1 species
GAUCAUGGCUCAGGAUGAACGCUAGCGGCAGGCUUAACACAUGCAAGUCGAGGGGCAGCGUGGAGUAGCAAUACUCUGACGGCGACCGGCGAAAGGGUGAGUAACGCGUGAGCAACAUGCCCGGUAGUGGAGAAUAGUCGAUGGAAACGUCGCGUAAUACUCCGUAACACAGAGAACCGCAUGAUUUUCUGUUAAUAGAUUUAUCGCUACCGGAUUGGCUCGCGUACCAUUAGCUAGUUGGCGGGGUAACGGCCCACCAAGGCGACGAUGGUUAGGGGUUCUGAGAGGAAGGUCCCCCACAUUGGAACUGAGACACGGUCCAGACUCCUACGGGAGGCAGCAGUGAGGAAUAUUGGACAAUGGCCGAGAGGCUGAUCCAGCCAUGCCGCGUGCCGGGAAGACGGCCCUAUGGGUUGUAAACCGCUUUUGUUGGGGAGCAAUAAGGUCCACGUGUGGAUCGAUGAGAGUACCCAGCGAAUAAGCAUCGGCUAACUCCGUGCCAGCAGCGGC